CAGCAGCCACGGUAAUACGAAGGGUGCAAGCGUUACUCGGAAUUACUGGGCGUAAAGCGUGCGUAGGUGGUGGUUUAAGUCCGUUGUGAAAGCCCUGGGCUCAACCUGGGAAUUGCAGUGGAUACUGGGUCACUAGAGUGUGGUAGAGGAUAGUGGAAUUUCCGGUGUAGCAGUGAAAUGCGUAGAGAUCGGAAGGAACAUCUGUGGCGAAGGCGGCCAUCUGGGACAACACUGACGCUGAAGCACGAAAGCGUGGGGAGCAAACAGGAUUAGAUACCCGCGUAGUCCCUGUCUCUUAUAC
rnacentral:rRNA from 1 species